rnacentral:rRNA from 1 species
UACAGAGACUGCGAGCGUUUAUUCGGAUUCACUGGGCGUAAAGGGUGCGCAGGCGGCCAAGUGUGUGAGGCGUGAAAGCCUGGGGCUUAACUCCAGAAUUGCACCUCAAACUACAUGGCUAGAGCAUUGGAGAGGGUAGCAGAAUUCACGGUGUAGCAGUGAAAUGCGUAGAUAUCGUGAGGAAUACCAGAGGCGAAGGCGGCUACCUGGACAAUUGCUGACGCUCAGGCACGAAAGCGUGGGGAGCAAAAGGG